rfam:Medicago truncatula strain A17 chromosome 7, whole genome shotgun sequence.
AAGUAGUGUGACAUGCCCGUUUGGGAUUUACUCUGAUAAUUAUUUAAUAUUUAAUUGCUUUGGGAUAACGGGGUGUUACAGAAACUAUU